rnacentral:rRNA from 1 species
AAAGGCAGUUAGGUUACUAUUUGAGUAGUUUACUUAUAUGAUUAAUAAAUAGGUAAAAUUUAAUUAUUAAUUGAAAAAUUUUUAUCAACUAAGAUCACUGAGUCUGCGAUAUCCCUGAGGGAAACUGGGAUUAGAUACCCCAUUAUUCUUGGAAGUAAAAAGAAAAAUCUACCAGAGUACUACGAACAAAAAUUUAAAACUCAAAGAGCUUGGCGGUGCUUUAGACUUUUCAGGGGAACCUGUCUUAUAAUCGACAAUCCGCGCCAUACCUAACCCUACCUUGCAUUCAAUUUGUAUACCGUCGUCGUCAGGUAACUUUUAAAAAUUUUAAUAGUUAGCAAGAAAGUCAAAAUAGUAAACUUAAACGUCAGAUCAAGGUGCAAUUCAUGGUAGGGGCAAGAUGGGUUACAAUUAUAAAAUUAAUAAUACGAAGAAUUACUUGAAACGCUAUUUUAAAGGAGGACUUGAAAGUAAA